UCUGCAAAAUAACCUAACAUUUCUCAGUAAACUAAAUUAGUCAAAAACGUUGCUAAAAUAGAAGCUAAAUUCUACAUUAACCUGAAAAAACCCUAGUAAAUAAUAAAUUAGCCAAAAAAACAUUAGCAUGUUGCUUAAAUAGAUGUUAAACUCUAAAUUAGCCUAAAAAACAAGUAGAUAGCAAAUUAGUCUAAAAUGUGACCAUAUUGCUAAAAUAUUAGCUAAACUCUAAAUUAGCAUAAAACACUCAGGCCAAAUUAGCCAAAAAAUAGAUAGCUUCUUGCGUGAUUACUGACUGAACUCCAAAGUAGCCUAAAAUUCCUCAGUAAACUAAAUUAGCCAAAAACGUUAGUGUAACCCCAGUAAAGUUAUUUUCUUUCCCUUAACAUUAACUUUAAACGGGGUGUAAUUUUCAGUUUCUCCACCUGUGGCAGUAGACAUUUUAGACGAUGUUUUUUUUAAUUUGUUCGGAGUGAUCAUCCCGUCAUUGUAUUGAUCUUUGACGCUUUUCCUCAUGAGCGAGAAGCAGCGAGUGAAAGGGAGAAAAAAGACCCGAGCGAGGUGAAAAGUGUGAAAUUGUAGUUUAUUAAACCAGUAUUUGAGCUAAGUUUGACAAAAAUAAAUAAAUAAAAAAAAAAACUAAUUUCCAACACUUAGUGGGAAGAAGAUAAAUCUGGAGAAAACCAAGGGUGGAGUUUGAAAGUUGUGGAAAAGUUCGUUAUCUCGGUGAGUGGUAACCGCAUUUUGUGUUAUAUAAUGCCAGUAAAUUGUAUCGACUGAUUAAAACAAGAGGGAAAAUGGAAACUUAAUGUUAUAAAAAAAACAGUUGAGGUAACUAAGGAAAUAUGUGAAUAAUAUACAGUAUGUUUUUUUUGUUGAAGUUUCAUUUGUGAAGUCUCCUCAGUUCACCACGUGUUGCAGGCUAAAUACCCUGUAAGCUAGUUUUGACUUGUCGGUUUUUUUGCAUGUUAUUUAAUUUUAUUGUGUAUUUUGAGUGUAACUUUCUGAAAAGGAAAAGACCAUGAAACAAUUGAACUAAUGUUAAAAGGUUACUAUGGGCAAUAUUUAAUUAUUUUCUGCACAUUUGUGUAGACUGUUUUUUUUUAUUGGAGUUCACCUGGAUCCCGGCCUUCAUCUUUUCAUCUCAUCUACCAUCAUCAUCCCAUCAUCUUCUCAUCUCUAAUCCCCUCAUCUCAUCUCUCAUCACCACCUUCUGGAAAUCUCGGGUCUACGCCCUCUUCACCUGAGAGUGUAUGGGAUAGGCUCCAGCAACCCUGUGAUUUGUGUGAUUCAGAUAUUCCUGACGCAAGACGGUACGGAAAGAUCAAUCUCUCUUCCAAGGACACAGCUGAGCCUUGCAGAAGGGAUUCUGAAACCUACUCACUCUUGAAGACAGGGAGGGGGAGAAAUAAACGUGCAAAAAAGAGCCCAUUUGUGAGGAGAUAUUCCCAACUGAAGUCUUCAGGGAAACUGAAACUCUUCUUCCUGGAUCAGCUAAGUUAUCAUCACAGCAUAACAAAUGCAUUCACAGGAAUCAGGGAGGAGAGCUCCUGAAGGUCAGACGAGUGUUUGUUUGAAUGAUGAAUUGUCAACAAUCCUGGUCCGAGCUGAGGCUGUUUUUAACUGAAGUGUGGAAACUGCCUCCUCCAUAAUUUAUGUCUUAAUUGGUUUCAUCUGAACUCUUGUUCAGCCCUUUGCCUUGACAGCCCUCGGAGCAGGGAGGAAAAUUCGGUGGCUGUAAGUUUGAUUUGAAUUGAGGCUAAAAUGUUCAUUUAAAUGUAUAAAGUGUAAGAAAAAAAUGAGGAUAAGAAUUUAUAAGAGACAGGGAUUUAUAGAACAUUAGCUUUAUUUAUAAUUAUUUGAUCCUAAUUUAACUUUUUAAUUCUGAUGCAAAAAAAUGAAUGGAUGUAAACAGCAGAUUUUUUGCUCUUAUGCAAACUAAAUAAAAAUGCAUU